AUUGAACGCUGGCGGCAGGCUUAACACAUGCAAGUCGAGCGGAGAUGAGGUGCUUGCACCUUAUCUUAGCGGCGGACGGGUGAGUAACGCUUAGGAAUCUGCCUAUUAGUGGGGGACAACAUUCCGAAAGGAAUGCUAAUACCGCAUACGCCCUACGGGGGAAAGCAGGGGAUCUUCGGACCUUGCGCUAAUAGAUGAGCCUAAGUCGGAUUAGCUAGUUGGUGGGGUAAAGGCCUACCAAGGCGACGAUCUGUAGCGGGUCUGAGAGGAUGAUCCGCCACACUGGGACUGAGACACGGCCCAGACUCCUACGGGAGGCAGCAGUGGGGAAUAUUGGACAAUGGGCGGAAGCCUGAUCCAGCCAUGCCGCGUGUGUGAAGAAGGCCUUUUGGUUGUAAAGCACUUUAAGCGAGGAGGAGGCUACCUGGAUUAAUACUCUAGGAUAGUGGACGUUGCUCGCAGAAUAAGCACCGGCUAACUCUGUGCCAGCCGCCGCGGUAACAC
rnacentral:rRNA from 1 species